UAACUUUUGUGUAGGGGGUUGGCAGAGCACAUAUUCGCGGCCUAAGGGACGGUUGGCAUAAGGGUUGGCAAGGCGUUCACACGCGAGGGAAACUUCCGAGGAGUGAGAACAGCCCUGUGCAGGGUCGUGAAUGGGGGGUGGGAGGGAACCGAAGAAUCUUUGAACUCCAGGGCUUUAGGGAAUUUGGGGAAGGGAAACUGGGGGUGGCCAAAGCGGCUAGACCUUUGCGGGACUUCAACGCUCCCCACCUCUCCUCUCUGCCAGCCCACGUGCGGCAAAGCAAGGGUUCGGCGGCCGAACUGAGUAAGAGCCCGGGCGUCUGGGCAGGAGGGAGGAGGGCUAGGCCAGGAGGAAGGAGUCCGGGCCGCCGCCGCCCCGCCCGUCGGGCUGUCCGCCCCGCCUACCCCGAGCGAGGCGGAGCCGGCGCCCGCCCGGAGGAGCAGGAGGAGGAGGAGAGGUCGGAGCCGUCUCCAGGAGCCCUUAGAGACAGAGUCCCCGGCAGCAGCGGUGGUGGCAGGGGCAGCGCUCUGGCAGGCGAAUUCAUCCCAUCACCUAAAACCUGGUAACAGUGGGCCACACAGAGUCUUACUGGUGAAAACCCUCAGCGAAGAUGUCAAGCAAAACAGCCAGCACCAACAACAUCGCGCAGGCAAGGAGGACGGUGCAGCAGCUAAGGAUGGAAGCUUCCAUUGAAAGAAUAAAG
rnacentral:lncRNA from 1 species